GCAACUCGACUACAUGAAGCUGGGAUCGCUAGUAAUCGCAGAUCAGGAUGCUGCGGUGAAUACGUUCCCGGGUCUUGUACACACCGCCCGUCACACCAUGGGAGUCGGAAAUGCCCGAAGCCGGUGACCCAACCAAAAGGAGGGAGCCGUCGAAGGCAGGUCUGAUAACUGGGGUGAAGUCGUAACAAGGUAGC
rnacentral:rRNA from 1 species